UAGGGAAUCUUCCACAAUGGGCGAAAGCCUGAUGGAGCAACGCCGCGUGUGUGAUGAAGGGUUUCGGCUCGUAAAACACUGUUGUAAGAGAAGAAUGACAUUGAGAGUAACUGUUCAAUGUGUGACGGUAUCUUACCUGAAAGGAAUGGCUAAAUACGUGCCAC
rnacentral:rRNA from 1 species